GUUCAUGCUGGACCACUACACACCUAAACUGCUUGCCAUUUUCCAAGAAAAGAAAGGUGCUGUUGGAGAGAGACAUCGCACAGAAAUGAACAUUUUACUCCAGAGUGGAACUACUGAAAAAACCAGAGAAGUUGUCAUCCGAUGUCUCAUUGAUCACCUGGGUGAAGAUAAUUUUGAAGAUACAAACCAUCGAGCCAUCAAUGUGGAAGAAGAGCUGGCAGCAGAGACAAUGGCUGUGUUCCUUGUGCGUGAUGAAAGUGGACAAGUCGAGAAUGUGGGAAUUGUCAUUGAGGGCUCCAUUGUACUCGACCACCUCGGGGAUCUCAGCAGGGGCUGCUGCUACUUGCUUGGACUAACUUAUGCAUUGGACCUGAAAUACCCCAAAACUCUAAAAUACAUAUUUGAGGUAUUUCAAAAGAUACUUCUUGAAGUGGAUCCUGGAAAGCUGUCAACAAAGGUCCUAAGACUGAAAAACAAUUUAAUGACUUAGUUGACUCUUAUCUGCACUUAUGUGCACUUAUGAGCACUCUCACCCUGUCAUCAGUGAGGCUCUUCUGCAAGUAACCACAAUCUAUGGUUUCAUUUUUGCCAGUUCAUCCCAAACUGUUUGACUGAUUGUGUGACCUCAUGUUGUUCUGGCUGCACAUUUAUAUUUUGCAUUGAUAUGCAUUUUGUUCUUUGUUUGAUCAUUCCAGUGAGGUAUGAUGCAUCCCGUUUUGAAGUUAAACUUUUAAGACAGUUCACACAGUUACUUAACUGUUCAACUUUCCAAGGACAAAGUUUUCAUUGUAAUAUGUCAUUGUUAGAAAUUCCAAUGUUUUGAUUGGAGAUUGUUCUCUAAUAACUACAUGUUAAAGAUGCAGUAGGCAACUUUUUAAAGAAAUCACAAUGUCAUGACCGUAUAAUAUGAGACAGAUAAUCUGUGGAAAAAACUGAGGGUAAUUGCCAGUGCUAAGACCUUCCUCCUGGCUGUUAUUGGUUGGUGUAUUUCUGCAGAUGGCAGUAGGACCACAGGGAGAAGACAGGA